rnacentral:rRNA from 1 species
GACGAACGCUGGCGGCGUGCUUAACACAUGCAAGUCGUACGGUAAGGCCCUUUCGGGGGUACACGAGUGGCGAACGGGUGAGUAACACGUGAGUAACCUGCCCACAACUUUGGGAUAACGCUAGGAAACUGGUGCUAAUACUGGAUAUGUGCUCCUGCUGCAUGGUGGGGGUUGGAAAGCUCCGGCGGUUGUGGAUGGACUCGCGGCCUAUCAGCUUGUUGGUGGGGUAGUGGCCUACCAAGGCGGCGACGGGUAGCCGGCCUGAGAGGGUGACCGGCCACAUUGGGACUGAGAUAAGGCCCAGACUCCUACGGGAGGCAGCAGUGGGGAAUAUUGCACAAUGGGCGCAAGCCUGAUGCAGCAACGCCGCGUGCGGGAUGACGGCCUUCGGGUUGUAAACCGCUUUCAGCAGGGACGAAGCUUUUUGUGACGGUACCUGAAGAAGAAGCACCGGCUAACUACGUG